rnacentral:rRNA from 1 species
UACAGAGACUGCAAGCGUUACUCGGAUUCACUGGGCGUAAAGGGAGCGCAGGCGGACCGAUGUGUCGGAUGUGAAACCCCAGGGCUCAACCCUGGGACUGCGUCCGAAACUGUCGGUCUAGGGACUCGGAGGGGCUAGUGGAAUUCCUGGUGGAGCAGUGAAAUGCGUAGAUAUCAGGAGGAACACCAACGGCGAAGGCAGCUAGCUGGACGAGAUCCGACGCUCAGGCUCGAAAGUAUGGGGAGCAAAAAGGAUUAGAUACCCUUGUAGUCCAUACUGUAAACGUUGUUGAUUAGGUCUUGGAGCAUUCGAACGCUCCAGGGCUCAAGCUAACGCAAUAAAUCAACCGCCUGAGGACUACGGCCGCAAGGCUAAA